GCCAAUUACGGGCGAGCGGCCGCGGGAGUACGUAGGGGGGAAGCGUGGGUCGGAAUUAGUGGGCGUAAAGAGCUCGUAGGUGGUCUGGCACGUCUGCUGUGAAAACCCGGGGCUUAACCCCGGGCUUGCAGUGGAGACGGGCAGACUAGAGGCAGGUAGGGGAGAAUGGAAUUCCCGGUGUAGCGGUGAAAUGCGCAGAUAUCGGGAGGAACACCGGUGGCGAAGGCGGUUCUCUGGGCCUGACCUGACGCUGAGGAGCGAAAGCGUGGGGAGCGAACAGGAUUAGAUACCCUAGUAGUC
rnacentral:rRNA from 1 species